CGGAGGGUGCAAGCGUUAUCCGGAUUCACUGGGUUUAAAGGGUGCGUAGGUGGGCAAGUAAGUCAGUGGUGAAAUCUCCGGGCUUAACCCGGAAACUGCCAUUGAUACUAUUUGUCUUGAAUACUGUGGAGGUCAGCGGAAUAUGUCAUGUAGCGGUGAAAUGCUUAGAUAUGACAUAGAACACCAAUUGCGAAGGCAGCUGGCUACACAAAUAUUGACACUGAGGCACGAAAGCGUGGGGAUCAAACAGGAUUAGAUACCCUGGUAGUCCACGCCCUAAACUAUGGAUACUCGACAUUUGCGAUAAACUGCAAGUGUCUGAGCGAAAGCAUUAAGUAUCCCACCUGGGAAGUACGAUCGCAAGACUG
rnacentral:rRNA from 1 species